rnacentral:rRNA from 1 species
AUUCCGGUUGAUCCUGCCGGAGGCCAUUGCUAUCGGAGUCCGAUUUAGCCAUGCUAGUUGCACGAGUUUAGACUCGUAGCAUAUAGCUCAGUAACACGUGGCCAAACUACCCUACAGACCGCAAUAACCUCGGGAAACUGAGGCCAAUAGCGGAUAUAACUCUCAUGCUGGAGUGCAGAGAGUUAGAAACGUUCCGGCGCUGUAGGAUGUGGCUGCGGCCGAUUAGGUAGAUGGUGGGGUAACGGCCCACCAUGCCGAUAAUCGGUACAGGUUGUGAGAGCAAGAGCCUGGAGACGGUAUCUGAGACAAGAUACCGGGCCCUACGGGGCGCAGCAGGCGCGAAACCUUUACACUGCACGACAGUGCGAUAGGGGGACUCCGAGUGUGAGGGCAUAUAGCCCUCGCUUUUCUGUACCGUAAGGUGGUUCAGGAACAAGGACUGGGCAAGACCGGUGCCAGCCGCCGCGGUAAUACCGGCAGUCCAAGUGAUGGCCGAUAUUAUUGGGCCUAAAGCGUCCGUAGCUUGCUGUGUAAGUCCAUUGGGAAAUCGACCAGCUCAACUGGUCGGCGUCCGGUGGAAACUACACAGCUUGGGGCCGAGAGACUCAACGGGUACGUCCGGGGUAGGAGUGAAAUCCUGUAAUCCUGGACGGACCACCAAUGGGGAAACCACGUUGAGAGACCGGACCCGACAGUGAGGGACGAAAGCCAGGGUCUCGAACCGGAUUAGAUACCCGGGUAGUCCUGGCUGUAAACAAUGCUCGCUAGGUAUGUCACGCGCCAUGAGCACGUGAUGUGCCGUAGUGAAGACGAUAAGCGAGCCGCCUGGGAAGUACGUCCGCAAGGAUGAAACUUAAAGGAAUUGGCGGGGGAGCACCACAACCGGAGGAGCCUGCGGUUUAAUUGGACUCAACGCCGGACAUCUCACCGGUCCCGACAGUAGUAAUGACAGUCAGGUUGACGACUU